ACKGCUCAGUAACACGUGGAUAACCUGCUCAAGGGUUCGGGAUAACCCCGGGAAACUGGGGAUAAUACCGGAUAGAUCACUCAUGCUGGAAUGCUAGGUGGUUUAAAGGUAACGCCUUUGGAUGGGUCUGCGGCGGAUUAGGUUGACGCCGGUGUAACGUACCGGCGUGCCUGUAAUCCGUACGGGUUGUGGGAGCAAGAGCCCGGAGAUGGAUUCUGAGACACGAAUCCAGGCCCUACGGGGCGCAGCAGGCGCGAAAACUCUACAAUGCAGGCAACUGCGAUAGGGGGACAUCGAGUGAUAUCCACCUUGGGUAUCUGUCCCACCGUCUAAAAAACGGUGGUUAGCAAGGGCCGGGUAAGACCGGUGCCAGCCGCCGCGGUAAUACCGGCGGCUCGAGUGGUGGCCGAUAUUAUUGAGUCUAAAGGGUCCGUAGCCGGCUUCGCAAGUCCCCUGGGAAAUCCAGCGGCUUAACCGUUGGUCGUCCAUGGGAUACUACGUUGCUUGGGACUGGGAGAGGUGGGAGGUACUCGGGGGGUAGGGGUGAAAUCCUGUAAUCCUCCGGGGACCACCGGUGGCGAAGGCGUCCUACCAGAACAGGUCCGACGGUGAGGGACGAAAGCUAGGGGCACGAACCGGAUUAGAUACCCGGGUAGUCCUAGCCGUAAACGAUGCCCGCUAGGUGUCACGACAGUCGUGAAUUAUCGUGGUGCCGUAGGGAAGCCGCGAAGCGGGCCACUUGGGAAGUACGACCGCAAGGUUGAAACUUAAAGGAAUUGGCGGGGGAGCAC
rnacentral:rRNA from 1 species